AUGGGCGCAAGCCAGAUGCAGCGACGCCUCGUGAGGGAUGGAGGCCUUCGGGUUGUGAACCUCUGUCGCCGGUGAUGUAGGCUCUGCUUUGUGGGUGGGGUUGACGGUAGCCGGGGUAUGAAGUGCCGGCUAACUACGUGCCAGCAGCCGCGGUAAUACGUAGGGCGCGAGCGUUGUCCGGAAUUAUUGGGCGUAAAGAGCUCGUAGGCGGCUGGUCGCGUCUGUCGUGAAAUCCUCUGGCUUAACUGGGGGCGUGCGGUGGGUACGGGCCGGCUUGAGUGCGGUAGGGGAGGCUGGAAUUCCUGGUGUAGCGGUGGAAUGCGCAGAUAUCAGGAGGAACACCGGUGGCGAAGGCGGGUCUCUGGGCCGUGUACUGACGCUGAGGAGCGAAAGCGUGGGGAGCGAACAGGAUUAGAUACCCUGGUAGUCCAUGCUGUAAACGUUGGGCACUAGGUGUGGGGGGUCUUUCCGGGUCUUCCGCGCCGUAGCUAACGCAUUAAGUGCCCCGCCUGGGGAGUACGGCCGCAAGGCUAAAACUCAAAGGAAUUGACGGGGGCCCGCACAAGCGGC
rnacentral:rRNA from 1 species